CCAACUUUAACAAAGCGCCUUAAACCAAUUAAUGACUUUAUCUUAAUUAAUUUCACAACAAAA
rnacentral:rRNA from 1 species